rnacentral:pre_miRNA from 1 species
GGAAUUGUUACAAUUUUAUUUUGUGACCGACACUAACGGGUAACUGAAAUAUCCUUUUCUGUGUGUGUUUCUCCAUAGCAAAGAUUUACUCGUUUCUGCGAUCACAAAUUACAAAAUUGUAAUCGA